rnacentral:misc_RNA from 1 species
CGCGCGCGCGUAUGUCCCCUGCAGGCUCGAUGCCGGCGAGACGUAUCUCGCGUCCGUCGCCGAGACGAAACGUACGCACGUCGAGCACGCCGCUGACGCGGCCUUCGCCCUGNAACCCCGGGGGGGGGCGAGCGGCCGCCCGCCACUGCCCGCGGUCAGCAGCACCGCGCAGCAGAACGUGAUCGGGAUGCGGCGGUUCAUCACCACGCUGUCAGGCCU